CUCUAGUCUGGCACGGUGAAGAGACAUGAGAGGUGUAGAAUAAGUGGGAGGCCCCCGGCGCCCCUCCGUCCCCGCGAGGGGGCGGGGCGGGGUCCGCCGGCCUUGCGGGCCGCCGGUGAAAUACCACUACUCUGAUCGUUUUUUCACUGACCUGGUGAGGUGGGGGG
rnacentral:ncRNA from 1 species